AAAUUGAAGAGUUUGAUCAUGGCUCAGAUUGAACGCUGGCGGCAGGCCUAACACAUGCAAGUCGAGCGGUAGCACAGAGAGCUUGCUCUCGGGUGACGAGCGGCGGACGGGUGAGUAAUGUCUGGGAAACUGCCUGAUGGAGGGGGAUAACUACUGGAAACGGUAGCUAAUACCGCAUAACGUCGCAAGACCAAAGUGGGGGACCUUCGGGCCUCAUGCCAUCAGAUGUGCCCAGAUGGGAUUAGCUAGUAGGUGGGGUAAUGGCUCACCUAGGCGACGAUCCCUAGCUGGUCUGAGAGGAUGACCAGCCACACUGGAACUGAGACACGGUCCAGACUCCUACGGGAGGCAGCAGUGGGGAAUAUUGCACAAUGGGCGCAAGCCUGAUGCAGCCAUGCCGCGUGUGUGAAGAAGGCCUUCGGGUUGUAAAGCACUUUCAGCGGGGAGGAAGGCGUUAAGGUUAAUAACCUUGGCGAUUGACGUUACCCGCAGAAGAAGCACCGGCUAACUCCGUGCCAGCAGCCGCGGUAAUACGGAGGGUGCAAGCGUUAAUCGGAAUUACUGGGCGUAAAGCGCACGCAGGCGGUCUGUCAAGUCGGAUGUGAAAUCCCCGGGCUCAACCUGGGAACUGCAUUCGAAACUGGCAGGCUAGAGUCUUGUAGAGGGGGUAGAAUUCCAGGUGUAGCGGUGAAAUGCGUAGAGAUCUGGAGGAAUACCGGUGGCGAAGGCGGCCCCUGGACAAAGACUGACGCUCAGGUGCGAAAGCGUGGGGAGCAAACAGGAUUAGAUACCCUGGUAGUCCACGCCGUAAACGAUGUCGAUUUGGAGGUUGUGCCCUUGAGGCGUGGCUUCCGGAGCUAACGCGUUAAAUCGACCGCCUGGGGAGUACGGCCGCAAGGUUAAAACUCAAAUGAAUUGACGGGGGCCCGCACAAGCGGUGGAGCAUGUGGUUUAAUUCGAUGCAACGCGAAGAACCUUACCUGGUCUUGACAUCCACAGAACUUUCCAGAGAUGGAUUGGUGCCUUCGGGAACUGUGAGACAGGUGCUGCAUGGCUGUCGUCAGCUCGUGUUGUGAAAUGUUGGGUUAAGUCCCGCAACGAGCGCAACCCUUAUCCUUUGUUGCCAGCGGUUCGGCCGGGAACUCAAAGGAGACUGCCAGUGAUAAACUGGAGGAAGGUGGGGAUGACGUCAAGUCAUCAUGGCCCUUACGACCAGGGCUACACACGUGCUACAAUGGCAUAUACAAAGAGAAGCGACCUCGCGAGAGCAAGCGGACCUCAUAAAGUAUGUCGUAGUCCGGAUUGGAGUCUGCAACUCGACUCCAUGAAGUCGGAAUCGCUAGUAAUCGUAGAUCAGAAUGCUACGGUGAAUACGUUCCCGGGCCUUGUACACACCGCCCGUCACACCAUGGGAGUGGGUUGCAAAAGAAGUAGGUAGCUUAACCUUCGGGAGGGCGCUUACCACUUUGUGAUUCAUGACUGGGGUGAAGUCGUAACAAGGUAACCGUAGGGGAACCUGCGGUUGGAUCACCUCCUUA
rnacentral:rRNA from 1 species